GGGCGCUUAGCUCAGUGGGAGAGCGCUUCCUUGACGCGGAAGAGGUCGUAGGUUCAAUCCCUACAGCGCCCACCA
rnacentral:tRNA from 1 species